GAUGAACGCUGGCGGCGUGCUUAACACAUGCAAGUCGAACGGAAAGGCUCCUGCUUGCAGGGGUACUCGAGUGGCGAACGGGUGAGUAACACGUGGGUGAUCUGCCCUGCACUUCGGGAUAAGCCUGGGAAACUGGGUCUAAUACCGGAUAGGACCACAUUUUGGAUGGUGUGGUGGAAAGUUUUUCGGUGUGGGAUGAGCUCGCGGCCUAUCAGCUUGUUGGUGGGGUAAUGGCCUACCAAGGCGUCGACGGGUAGCCGGCCUGAGAGGGUGUACGGCCACAUUGGGACUGAGAUACGGCCCAGACUCGUACGGGAGGCAGCAGUGGGGAAUAUUGCACAAUGGGCGCAAGCCUGAUGCAGCGACGCCGCGUGGGGGAUGACGGCCUUCGGGUUGUAAACUCCUUUCGCUAGGGACGAAGCGUUUUUGCGACGGUACCUGGAGAAGAAGCACCGGCUAACUACGUG
rnacentral:rRNA from 1 species